rnacentral:rRNA from 1 species
GAUGAACGCUGGCGGCGUGCCUAAUACAUGCAAGUCGAACGAGGUCCUUGCCUUCGGGUGAGGUCCUAGUGGCGAACGGGUGAGUAACACGUUGGUGACCUGCCCCGAAGAGGGGGACAACCCCGGGAAACUGGGGCUAAUACCCCAUGUGAUCCAGAGAGUUAGAGGUCUUUGGAUGAAAUGGAGCAAUCCGCUUCGGGAGGGGCCUGCGGCCUAUCAGCUAGUUGGUAGGGUAACGGCCUACCAAGGCGACGACGGGUAGGGGGCCUGAGAGGGUGAUCCCCCACACUGGAACUGAAACACGGACCAGACACCUACGGGUGGCAGCAGUAGGGAAUAUUGCCCAAUGGACGAAAGUCUGAGGCAGCAACGCCGCGUGCGCGAUG